AAGUCGUAACAAGGUUUCCGUAGGUGAACCUGCGGAAGGAUCAUUAACACGUAUCCAACCCAUAUUCACCCCACUACCAGAACUCGCCUCGUAGGAAACUGCUGGGCACAACUGUUAACAAUGGAUAUCUUGGUUCUC
rnacentral:misc_RNA from 1 species